rnacentral:rRNA from 1 species
GGCAGCACUGGGGAAUAUUUGCCAAAGGGGGCAAGCCUGAUCCAGCCCUACCGCGUGGGUGAAGAAGGCCUUUGGGUUGUAAAGCCCUUUUGUUGGGAAAGAAAUCCAGCUGGGUAAUACCCGGUUGGGAUGACGGUACCCAAAGAAUAAGCACCGGCUAAAUUCGUGCCAGCAGCCGCGGUAAUACGAAGGGUGCAAGCGUUACUCGGAAAUACUGGGCGUAAAGCGUGCGUAGGUGGUCGUUUAAGUCCGUUGUGAAAACCCUGGGCUCAACCUGGGAACUGCAGUGGAUACUGGGCGACUAGAAUGUGGUAGAGGGUAGCGGAAUUCCUGGUGUAGCAGUGAAAUGCGUAGAGAUCAGGAGGAACAUCCAUGGCGAAGGCAGCUACCUGGACCAACAUUGACACUGAGGCACGAAAGCGUGGGGAGCAAACAGGAUUAGAUACCCUGGUAGUCCACGCCCUAAACGAUGCGAACUGGAUGUUGGGUGCAAUUUGGCACGCAGUAUCGAAGCUAACGCGUUAAUUUCGCCGCCUGGGGAGUACGGUCGCAAGACUGAAACUCAA